UACGUAGGGUGCGAGCGUUAAUCGGAAUUACUGGGCGUAAAGCGUACGCAGGCGGUGAUGUAAGACAGAUGUGAAAUCCCCGGGCUCAACCUGGGAACUGCAUUUGUGACUGCAUCGCUGGAGUGCGGCAGAGGGGGAUGGAAUUCCGCGUGUAGCAGUGAAAUGCGUAGAGAUCCGGAGGAACACCAGUGGCGAAGGCGACACGCUGGGCCGUACCUGACACUGAUGCGCGACAGCAUGGGGAGCAAACAGG
rnacentral:rRNA from 1 species